rnacentral:rRNA from 1 species
GGGUGCGUAACGCGUAUGCAACCUACCUUUCACAGAGGGAUAGCCCAGAGAAAUUUGGAUUAAUACCUCAUAGUAUAUUGACUUCGCAUGGAGAUGAUAUUAAAGUAACAACGGUGAAAGAUGGGCAUGCGUCCCAUUAGCUAGUUGGUAAGGUAACGGCUUACCAAGGCAACGAUGGGUAGGGGUCCUGAGAGGGAGAUCCCCCACACUGGUACUGAGACACGGACCAG